UUGAGCUUAGCAGGUGGGGGAGACAGAAAAUACCAACGUAAGCAAAGACAUGUCUAAUUACACAUAGUAAUAAGAACUGAGGAGGGAAGAAACAGGAUGCUGUGAGAGAAAAUAGCAGGGAGGGCAGGGAAGGGCUCUCUAAGGAUGUGGUUUUCUAACUGAAGUCGGUGAAGACAGGAAGAAGCAGGAGCACACAGGCCCCCGGGGACUGGCCCGGGCAAGGCACUGAAAUGGGCUGGCAUGGCCUCAAAAAGCUCUGGAAGACGGAAAAUAUGGAGAUUUUUGCUGUUGAUUGCUGUUGUUUUUUCUGCAUGAUGAGAGCGCUGAGUCCCACUGUCAAGUAGCUGGUUUCGCAGGACUGGCGCAGGACUCGGGUCUCUGGCUUGCAGUUCACAGCAAUCUCAACCACAUAUCACUGCAUUACGUGAGAAACUUUUUUUCUACUGGG